UACGUAGGGGGCAAGCGUUGUUCGGAAUGACUGGGCGUAAAGGGUGCGUAGGCGGUGUAGCAAGUUAGAAGUGAAAUGCCUAGAGCUUAACUCAGGUGCUGCUUCUAAAACUGCUAUACUUGAGUGCAGUAGAGGAAAGUGGAAUUCCUAGUGUAGCGGUGGAAUGCGUAGAUAUUAGGAGGAACAUCAGUGGCGAAGGCGACUUUCUGGACUGUAACUGACGCUGAGGCACGAAAGUGUGGGGAGCAAACAGG
rnacentral:rRNA from 1 species